GGACCUUCUUGUCGAGCCAAAGGCAGCGGCACCGCCAGGUGAAUCUCCGCUGCUAUGAUGGAACCGUCUCCGACGAGCACUUUCAACACCAGGUAACAUACCAGCCAUUGAUCUAUAAAACCUCAAAACCUUUCUCUUUCUGUUUCUCUCUCUAGAGACUGGCUGAAAUAUAAGAUCUUGAGUCUUGCAGAAGCAGAGCUAUGAAAGGAAGCCUGUAGUCUCCUUUAUAAAGAACUGCAGAGAAAAAGAAGAUAAUAGAGGGAAGAACAGUAAGAACCCAUUAAAAGAUAGUGGGAGACAAGAAAUGGGUAUGAAUCUUUAAUGGCUUUUAAGAAAGAAUUAAUAAGAUUCUCGUAAAUAAUUCAUAUUCAAUCAUUGUCCUA
rnacentral:lncRNA from 1 species